rnacentral:tRNA from 1 species
AACUGGGGCGUCAAGGUGCUGCGUUACGAGAUCAAGGACCUGACGCCGCCGCCGGCAAUCCUGCACUCGAU